UUCCAGUGAUGAAUCGUCUGAAGA
rnacentral:piRNA from 1 species